UUCUUGCUACAUAAUCCCCAAAUAUACAACUAAAAGAGAAUGUAACGAAUAGCAAGACGAAUCAGUGUUUCAUUUACAACUUUUCAAAGAUAUUUUAUAUUGGUUGUUACAGGAAACCAAAUUAUGAAAGAUAUUAGUGAUAUUGCGUAAUGAAUUGUCAAAAUUUGUAUGAAAAUUUAUUUACGGACACCAAAUAACUUUACGUAACUUUUUCGUUGUGUAAACAAUGUGCGAAAAUUUACCAGGUUAUGAAUGCAACCUUGCCAAAUAGUCAGCUGAUUUAUUUUAAUGUUUGAAGUGGAAAAGUAUGGAAGAGAAAACACAGCAAAAAGGAAAAAGGAAGCGAAGUAACCCAACGCAUCAUUGGACAGAGUCGCAGGUGCCAGACUUGCUGCAAGCAGCUGCCGAUGUGGUGAAAGAGUACCAGAGUCGUUCGAGCGGAUCCUUUGGGCGGUGUUAAAGAGCAAGAUGCGACACCUCAAAGCAUCUUACCUAUCCGCAGUGGCCUGGAAAUGUAACACUGGUGCAGGGCUGCUGGUGAAUGGGAUUGAGCACACAUUAAUAAGAUUAUUAAUAAUUGAAAUUGAAGCUAAAAAACAAGGUCAGUUAGAAAUUGAAAAACUAAAAUUAGCA